AGCGAACGUUAGCGGCGGGCCUAACACAUGCAAGUCGAGCGAGAAAGUGGCUUCGGCCAUCAGUAAAGCGGCGGACGGGUGAGUAACACGUAGGUAAUCUUCCCUUGAGCGGGGGACAACGAGCCGAAAGGCUCGCUAAUACCGCAUACGUUCCCAGAGACCUCGGUCUUUGGGAGGAAAGCUAGGUAGCAAUAUCCGGCACUCGAGGAGGAGCCUGCGUCGCAUCAGCUAGUUGGUGGGGUAACGGCCUACCAAGGCGAAGGCGCGUAGCUGGUCUGAGAGGAUGAUCAGCCACACUGAAACUGAGACACGGUUCAGACUCCUACGGGAGGCAGCAGUGGGGAAUAUUGGACAAUGGGCGCAAGCCUGAUCCAGCCACGCCGCGUGAGUGAUGAAGGCCUUCGGGUCGUAAAGCUCUGUGGGGAGGGACGAACCGCUGUCGGUUAAUACCCGGCAGCAUGACGGUACCUCCUUAGCAAGCACCGGCUAACUUCGUGCCAGCCGCCGCGGUAA
rnacentral:rRNA from 1 species